UACAGGAGGCCCGAGCGUUAAUCGUAAUCACUGGGCUUAAAGGGUGCGUCGGCGGGCCCGCAAGUGCGUUGUGAAAUCCCCCGGCUCAACCGGGGAAUUGCAGCGCGGACUGAGGGUCUUGAGGAAGCUAGGGGCCGCUGGAACGCUCGGUGGAGCGGUGAAAUGCGUUGAGAUCGAGCGGAACGCCGAUGGUGAAGACAGGCGGCUGGGGCUUUCCUGACGCUGAGGCACGAAAGCGUGGGGAUCAAACAGG
rnacentral:rRNA from 1 species